rnacentral:lncRNA from 1 species
CCUUGUUUCUGCACUUGAGGGCCAGCUGCCAGCAGCCUCCCUGCACCACUCCCAGGUGGUUUGCUCGUCCCAACGCACUGCAGUGCGGGGAAGGAGUGUGCUCUCCUUCAUAACCCAGCAGGGAUUAACGCAGGCUACUUAGCUGAAUUUAGAAAGUACUUGGUGAAUCAAUAUAAUGAAUCUCAGAAUUCACAUUUUCUCUCAGAUUUUACUAUUGAACAAAUGAAAAGAACAAAAAGUAAAAACAAAUGGACUGAUUUUUUAAAGAUCACACAAGUCAUCACCAUUCCCAGCUAACUGAUGGACUCCCUUGGAAGGUGACGGCUUCUCCCCCACCUGUCUAAGCACACAGAAAACACAUCAAGUCCUCCGUGUGGCUCAGCACCACCUCUUUUCCUCUCACACACCUGGUGGAGACUGUUGAAUGAAUAAACAGACAACCUCAUUUGCACUCUAGAGUCGGUGGCUGGUCUCCAUGGCAACCAGAUUAAGUUUUUCCGCUGAUGUUGGGGGCAAAAAGACAGAAGGAAUAGACGCUAAGAUGGCAGGGGAAGGUACAUGUGGAUUAUAAAGUACUGUCCUCCAUUUCUUUACUGGUCCCAGGCUACCUCCCAGCAAGAAUGGAGAGUGGCUGUUUCUACCUUCUACUGCACACAGAGGAAAAGGGGUCCUGAUCAGUGCUAUCAGUACGAUGGGAAAGGGCUGGGUUACAGAGCUUAGCGCACACCGAGGCCUGCACUGCCAAGGAGCUACAUGCAAUUGCAUCCAUCCAACUGAAUUCUCAUUUCCUGCGUGUGCCUGGCCCUGUGCUUCGUGCUGCGGAGGUGGUUUACAGUAAAAGCAUGUAGACUAAGUGAGGAGAGGUGCCAACACGUAUCAUGGGGAGGGCAGGAGGAGGUCCAGCCCCUGCCUCCCCAACCAGGAGCAGCUGCAGCUCACAGCACCAUUUGCCCUCAAGCUAAGCCACACCUAGUUCUUGAGCUCUGGCCAGAAUGACUUUAGCCUUGCCAAUCUAGCAGCUGGUCAGGCUGAAUCAAGCGUUUUUUGAUAGUUCAUGGAUGCAGCAUCAUCCACUGGGCCUCUAACACCUGGAGACCCACAGAAUUCCUGCCUUCCCUCAGCCAUGACUGGUGGAUUGACUUGGCCUGCGUGACUGGGAUCUGACUCACAUUCCUGACCCAGGCUGGGGCCCUGACACCCUGCCUUUCUCUUGUCUGCAUCUUACCUCAGGCACCUGAACCUAGUUUCAUACCCCUAGGCAGGUUCCUGCUCUAAAGGAGUGGUCGCCCAGAACCACCCUGACAAAAGCUUUCAUACUGUUUCAGCUACUGUUUGCUGCUGGAACUGCCUGCCUCUAUGCCCCAGCAGGGGGACAGAUUGCUGUGGGCCCUGAAGACUGGACCUUGGACCACUCGCACCCACUCAGGCCAAGGUCUGUCAACUUCUGGUACCAAAUUCUUCCUCAUCCCUACAAACCAGGGAUGCCGCCAAAAUACCAGAAAUCCUUAUUCCUGAGCCUGAGGUGGUAUUUGAAAUGGGUCUUGAAGGGUGGCCAGGAUUUGGACAAUAAAAGAGAAGACUUUCUCUGUCAGCACCAGGGUCCUUGAUGAGAGUCAUAGGGUGAUGGUGUAAUUCAUUCAAAUCUCUAUUAGGUAACCCUAACCUCUGUCUGUUUUCAUGGUGCUUUCCGCUGGACUCUCCAUCCCUCUGCUGUGUCUCCUGCCUGCUCCCCCUCGGGUGCUUCCCUGUAUUCCUUUUCUCCUGUACUUUUCCACUUGCACCCUACGUCAGUGUUUCCUGAGCUCACCUCUCCUUUUCCUACUCUCUGCUCUGAUACUGAACACGGGGUGGCGGGGGGGUAGUGGGGAGGGGUGGGGAAAGCUGCUUGCUGUGCCCCAGGUAAUUCUCUCAUCCUCACUGCCAGCUUUAAGGGGAAAUACUGGUCCCAGAAGACAAACCCUUCCUCCUGUCCGUUGGAAACAAGUAGGUUGAUUUUUCCAUCACAGGAGUGAAACAGCAAAGGCUGUUGGUUGUACCAGUGGAUCCAGCGCCUACUAAGAGCUUACUACUCAUUUCUAUCCAUUUAGUGUGGCAUACUCCAGAAGAUUCUCUUGCCCUUCCCUUGACCCAAAAUACCUCCUCUACUGGUGCCUGAAAGCCUACCAUUAACCUAGUCAUUCCUUUGUGUUAAUCAUUACUUUUUCCUGAUGGUCUUCCUUUGAACAUAAAAGCACUCCCAGAAGGGAAAAGAUUUGCUUCCUAAUGCCUCUAUGCAAACGAAGAAUGGAGGGGAAAGUGCCGAAGGUUUCAAACCUUCCCAAUGGGGUUGGAGUAUAAAUCUAAUUUGACUGGGUGGAGAAUUAACAAAAUACAUUGAAAUUAUAGAACUGCUGAUGUUCAUAUAGUCAUUUUUCCAUUUUUUAAUCUUCUUCAUUUAACUAAAACAUACAUACAAUAGUCUACAAAUCUUAAAUGUACAGCUUAAUACAUUUUACAUAUGUAUAUACUCAUGUAACUACCACCUAGAUUAAAUAUAUUUCCAGUGCCCCUGCAUCUCUUUCUGGUCAAUAUUACUCCAAAAAUAACCACUUUUCUGACUUCUGUUACCCUAGAAUAGUUUUGCCUAUUCUUGAGCUUCAUGUAAAUGGAGCCAUGUGGAGCCCAGACUUUUUGACUCAAUAUAAUAUUUUUGAGAUUCAUGCAUGUUGUUGCACAUAUCAGUCAUCUGUCCUUCUCUAUUAUUGCUUAGUAUUCCAUGGUAUGUAUUUACUACAAUGUCUUAAUCCAUUUUUCUGUUGAUAAACACUUGAGUUAUUUCCAGUUUUGCAAAAAGCUGUUUCCUAUUUUGAAUAAAUCUGUUGGAACAUUCUUGUACAAGGUUUUGUGAACAUAUGCACUAAUUUUUCUUGGACUAUACCUAGCGGUGGGAUUCUUGUUUCAUAGAGUAGACAUGUACAUAACUUUUUUAAAAACCACCAAAUAGAUUUUCAAAGUGAUUAUAUCCUUUUGCAUUCCCACCAGCAAAUGCGUGACAGUUGCAGUCACUCCACAUUGGGUCAGUCUUUUCAAUUUUAGCUAUUCUGGCAGAGAAAAUUUUGCAGUACUUUUGCUACGAGAGGUAAAUUCCUGAGCUGGGGCUCAUCGGCAGGAGAAUAGAGGCCUCCUAUCCAUGACAGAUGUGGAAGUAGAAUUCUGAUGAGUUUUUGUUUUGUUUCAUCUUAAUAACGAGAAACUGUGGGGCUAGAAAGCUAGAGAAAUAUGUUUUAUCUUGUAUCAGUACCAACUAAAAGAAAGCCAAUUCUGGGGGUGGUGGGAGGGUGUCACCAGUGGAGAAAAGGGCUAAUUUAGGCUAAUUCUAGGAUAAUACUCCCAGUAGGGUGUUAAGACAAUACUGCAGGCCCAUGUCUGAUGAUCCAGUCAGAAAGGGAGCUCAGACCAGGAUGCUUGGUUGCCAGUAAUAGAGACUAGCUUGAGCUAUUAGGUUGGUGCAAAAGUAAUUGUGGGUUUUGCCAUUAGAAGUAAUGCCAUUCCUUCUAAUGGCAAAACUCGAAAUUACUUUUGCUCCAACCUGAUAGCAUGAUCAAGUGGGAACGUAUGAAAGGAUAUUUGUGUACCCACAGAAUUGACAGAGUUGAGAGCCUGGCCUAGAGAUAAGCAGGAACUGAGGAGGAUCCAGAAGGCCAGGAGCAGGCAGCUCAGUCGAUCAGUGUGCUUCCCUGAUAACUGUUCCUGUCAUCCUUGUGUCACCUGUUCGAGGUUCAAAGAUCCAGAAGUGUUUAUCAGAUUUGGUUGAGCUUAGGCCGCAUGCCCACCCUCAGGGCUGGAGGAAGCAGAAUCUGGCCACUUCACAAUCUUCCAUGGUGGGGAGCAGGUGCCUGGAUUUAUACCCCAUUAAGGCUGCAUCCAUGGGAAUAAGUAAUUCCCCAAAAGAAAUGAGAUGCCAUCAGGAAGGAGGAAUGGAUGUUGAGUAGCCAAAGAAAUGCCACAUGUUCACUACAGGCCUGCCUUCAACAGCAUCAAAUUCACACUAUCGUGUUAAUAGCUUUGGGAGGAUGAAAGGAAACUGGCCUGGACCUAUAGGGUGAGCAAGGAAAGAGAAUUUGACAUCAACAAUAAAGGCCUAGCCAAUUUGCUCACCGCUUCUCAAAUGGACUUGAAUAAGAUGACACUGCGUGACACAAAAUUUCUUCUUUUUUUUAAAAUUUUUUUUAGAUGGAGUCUCACUCUGUCACGCCCAGGCUGGAGUGCAGUGGCACGAUCUCGGCUCCCUGCAACCUCUCUGCCUCCUGGGUUCAAGUGAUUCUCUUGCCUCAGCCUCCCGAGUAGCUGGGACUACAGGCACGUGCCACCACGCCCGGCUAAUUUUUGUAUCUUUUUAGCAGAGACGGGGUUUCACCAUGUUGGCCAGGAUGGUCUUAAUCUCCUGACCUUGUGACCCACCUGCUUCGGCCUCUCAAAGUGCUGGGAUUACAGGUGUGAGCCACCACACCUGGUCACACAAAAUUUCUCAAUUUGUCAUUUUUGGCAUAUCUGAAUCACUCUAGGAUCCCCUUGCAGUGUGGUACAACCUGUGUGAGGGGAUCCUGGGUGGAGGUGGUGGGAGGUGGAGACUGUGGAACGGGGUGAAGAUCACAGCCCAGGUAUGGCACUCUUUUUCAGGUGUGAGCUUCUAAAGGCCUAAGCAAACGUCUGAGACUUGAGGACAAAAAUUAUGGGUUUCAAAAUACAUAAAUCAAAAUACCCAUGAUCUCAGCACUUUGGGAGGCUGAGGCAGGAGGAUCACUUGGGGCCAGGAAUUCAAGACCAGCCCAGGCAACAUAGUGAAACCUCAUCUCUACAAAAAACUUUAAAAAUAGCCAAGGGUAGGCUGGGCGCGGUAGCUCACACCUGUAAUCCCAGCACUUUGGGAGGCCGAGGCUGGCAGAUCACCUGAGGUCAGGAGUUCAAGACCAGCCUGACGAACAUGGAGAAACCCCUGUCUCUACUAAAAAAAAAAAAAAAAAAAAAAAAAAAAAAUUAGCC